UAUUUACAGCUCCUCUGUGACUAAACACUAUUUUCCAAUUACUAUAUUGUUGGUUUUUUGCUUUUUUUUUUUUCAGUUGGGCUCCUUAUCCUUUCUUUGAAGCAACGUGACCGCAUAGUAAACUGUUUUUGAGGAGUGUUUGCUGCUUGAGGUUAGAAGUUGAAACCACAGAGUUCCUUAUCUUGUCUUUCUGCCUCUGUUUUUAAAUGAGCUAGCAGGGCAGAAGAGCGCUAACAACCGAAAUGUUCUUUUUGCCCUCUCCCCACCCAUAUUUUCAAGGCCACAGGAGGAGAAGUCCCCGGCAGGACCCAGCUGCUGGUUUUGCUGCCCGCAGACCAGCUUCAACCAUGUGGAAGCUUUAACUGCAGUGGGCCUCUGCUCCUGGGCUGCUGCAGGAGGGUCUCUGCCACUGCCUCCAUCUGAGACAGCUCUUGGAGCCCCUACAGAAGUCCAAGACCUUUGGAUGAAUGCAGGUGACAAAAAUUUGCUCCUGUGGUUUGAUUUUAGUUUGCACGCUUCCUGGCACAUUUGGGAGAAGAUGCUUCUAACUGGGGUGAGCUUGGCCAGCUUUCCAGGCUGCACCAUGUUGGUACCUACAGACCUUCCCAGCUAGCUCAGGCUUUCAAAAUCACAUUUUGCAGCACAUUUUGAAGACAUUUGUCUCCCAUGCAGACCUGUGGUGGUGCUGGAUACAUCCCAACAUCAUGGUUUUAUAGCAGGACAAGUGUGCUGGCAUAAAUCCUUUUGUAAGGAUGUCCCCUUUCUACCUCCCAGAGGUGCAUGGACUCAACAAAGCUGGGUUCUGUGCUUAGUCCUCAUUUUUAACAACAGCUGUACUUGGCCUCGCUGUGGGUUUUUUGUCUUUUUUGAAUCUUUUUAGAAAGAAAUCACUGGCACACAGACACAUAGGUAGCCUCGUUUCCUAGAACUCAUAGCUAGGUUUUUGGGAGGGAACUGAGACAGUUUUUCCAGCUGUGAGCGAUGCCUCCAGUGGAUUGAUUUCUGCACAAAAACACUUGUGGUAUUGAACCCCGAGUGGUGUUUGCCAUUUGCACUCAGCUGUUGGCGAGUUACAUGGGAAUUUCACAUGGGAAACAGAAUUACUUUCAUUAUCUCGAGGCCCAUCUCGAAAACACAGCACUGAUAAUUACCUCUGUUUAGUUCUGGCUCUCAGAAAAUCAGACUUCGCUCUUGAGCAAAACAGCCGGGGGGGCUGUGUUUAGACAAACGCUUCCUGCCUGUGGAAAACCUUUCCGAAGCAGUCCCAGCCAGCUUCACCUGGGGCCCUUGCCCUCACAAAUGGCCAUGCUGUGGGGUCUGCAGCCACCCUGGGACCCCAGCCACCUUCACCAGCACGUCCUGGGGCUGCGUGCGGGGAUGAGGGGCACGAAGCUCAUGGUGAAGCCUCCUGAGAUGACACUGGCUGACCCCAGUGUUUUGCAGGACAAGUCACCACCUAGUUCUCGUAAACUUCUUGACUUCUGUGGGUGACUUCUCACAACCACCUGGCCUGCCAAAAGCUUUAAGCCCGAGUCUAACCUGAUUGAUUUUUCCCCUGCAGUUUCAGGGCAUUGCUCCUCAUCUGGAGCAAUUCCCUCCCUUCGUUUCUGUCAGCACCUGUCAUUACCUCUCCCAUCCUCCCCCCCACUCACUUAUUCCCAUGGAGAGCCCUUUGUGACCCCAGAAGCUACACGUGUCAGCCUUCUGUGUGUUUGAGCUAGUUUCUGUAUGCCUUUCCCGAAUACCAAAGGUCAAAAACACAAGCUGUGUUGCUCUACAACCUCAUUAACCCCACAGAUUUCGCUAGCAAACUGUCUCUGCAUGUUUGCAAGCAAUCAUCUUGUUUCCCUCAGGUUUUCUCUGUGGGGCAUCCUGGCGUGCAGCAUCCCUGCUUAAGCUCCCGGGCACUUUUUUUGGGUCCAUGCAAUCCAGAUCUGGGCGGAGAUGUCUCCUCUCUGCUGGACAGCAAGGAGAUUUCAGGAGGGUGACUGGCUCAGCUGUAGCUAAUUGAUAAAUAUCUGCAGCUAAAGCCCAUACAUCCCACUCAGGGUUAAAAUAAGGCUUGCAUAGGGCUGGGAGGGAAAGCCAGCCCAUGGAAGCACAACGCCACCACCCUAAAGGUGUCCUCAUCUGCCUGGGCUGUGGUGGGCCACCGAAGCCCAUCUCAAUGAGCUGGGGCAGGUUGGGGAAUCCAGUGGCUUCCCUCCUUCCUUUUUUUAAUUCAUUUAUUAUUAAUUUGCUAAUCCAGCUAUCACACGAAGGGAGGGAUUGACAGCUCUUACAGCAUGUCCUGAGCCACGGGCUGGGGAACAUCUUUCCCCCAGAUGCUCACGGAGGGCACGGCACACACGGGGACUGCCGGAGCCAGACCAGCUCCUCCCUCAGCUUGCCCCGGGUUUGCCUGACGCCUGGCUGGAGGCUGGGAGCACCCCUGGAUGUGUCCUUCUUCUUGCCUCCUUCACAGACACUUUUUUUUGUUUCCUGUGAUGAAUUCUCCUUGCUCUGCCUGCGGAAAGUAGCUGGAACGGUUUCGUUCCUGUGGUGCUUUUCUCCCUCUUCAUCCCUCUCAGCAGGCUCGGAGCUAUUCAAAUCCCCUCUAUUUUCUUCCUUUCCAGCGCAGCUUCCUCCAGCCUCAGCUUUUUGGCUGAUGCUGGGCUUGAAAUCUGCCUUUCCUCCUCCCAGCGCUUCCUCCUGGGGUAACCCUCUGUGAGCCACGGGCUCGCUUUCUGUGACCCCCUCCUUGCUCCCUGGCAAAGCCACGUGUGAGGAGUCCCACAAUGAAGAGAUUUCAGGGCACCCUGCAGGCUGUGAGGGCUCCGUCCAGCAGAUCGACGAGGUGGGCAGGCUCCCAGCAUCCUGGCAUGCAGCAGGAUGGCAGGAUCAGGCCCCGAGGGACAGCAUCAACCCCCUGUGGCAUCGACCCCUCCUGAGGGAGCCACCGUGGGCUUUGGCACCCUUGGUUUUGAGGGCAUAAAUGCCAUCUCCUCCUCUUGGGGACCGUCCCAGCCUGACCUGGGAUUGGCAGCAACUCAACUGCUCUAUCAGCAGAGAGGGUUACACAUUCAUAAUUAAAGUAAGGUGGGAAAAUUUAUCAAAGAGGGAUGGGAUGGGGCUCUUACCAGCCUGCCCAGCUGCAACAGGAAAGUUCAUUUUCCCUCUUGCAUCGACUUCAACCAUAGCAGUUGGCUGGCCUGGCAGCUCUUUUGGUUUUCCUUUUUGCCCAGGAAAUGUAUUCACCAAAAAUACAUUCUUGCUCAUGUAGAUGACCUUUUUUUUUUUUUUUUUAAUGUUAAACAAGCCAGCUGCAAGAGUCACCCUUGUUGGACCUCCAAUCUCUUCCUAAAAAAAAAAAAAAAACAAAAAAAAAACAAGUGGCUCCCAGCCCUGCUCCAGGAGCAGCCCAUGGAGAUCCCAUCCACGGCACACCUUCAGAAAAACACCCUGACCCGUUUCAAAGGUGAGGAGCAGCAUUUCCCAACGCCUACCAUUAAGUUCUCCCGAAUCCCCUUCCAGAUGCCCUGUGUGAGGACCUGCUCACUGGGCAUCAACCCAGAGAAAAGCGCCCUCCAGAAAUGCUCUUUCCUACCUUCACCUCACUUUUUACCUGCCUUAUAUUCCUUCUGUGGCGUUUCAUUAGUACUGUACAUUACAUAAGAAUAUUGUGCCGGUUUGUUUUUUUAUCCUGUUUCAUUUUAAAACUAUUAAAACCAUCUGCCACUUGGUAAACACUAACAUGUUUUCUGUUCCAGAUCAAAGUGUCUCCUGUCUGUGUUGUAGUGGAAGUUUGACAUUAUUUUUUUAUUUUUUUUUACAAGACGGGCAGGAGACUCUUUGAUCGGGUGCCAAACUGUUUCCCUACAACAAACAGGCAACACUCUGAGCUAGAAACGAUAAGAUGUUAUUAUGCACUGUGAUGAUUUCAUGACAUGUCAGCAGUGAUGUUUUAAAAAAAAAAAAAAUCCCUAAAUAAUAGAUAACAUUUAAAAUAUCAUCAUGAAAUUCCUUUUUUUUUUUUUUAAUGAAAAAUUUAUGAAUUGAAAGCAUGCCUUUUAUAUUUUCCCUCUACGUGACUGUGACUUCUUGUUAGCAUUUUGACCAUUUUGUCGUAAUCCUUUUCAACAAAUCGGUUUCUUCUGUCAAGAACGCUGCAUUGAAAAAAUUCUGACGGAGCCGACUUAAAAAGCUUUUUCCUGAAAGCCUUUUUACACACGCAAGAUUAUUGUCCCUGCCAGAGAACAAAAGGAUCACCUGCUGGCUUUUUUGUCAUGGCUAAAUAAAUUAAUUGCUCCAGGAUUAUUCCCUCAGAGUUCCCCAAACACGGCGCUUCCCACCAGCCCUCGUACACAUGUUCUCCUUUGAUGCCACGACGCGCUCCCUCCGCAGAGAGCCCACAGCUUCGCGGUAACACAAGCACUGAAGCUGCAUGCUGAGAAAAGAGACAUGCACGUUGUCAUUUCUGUCUUAAUUUGCAUGCUGACAAGGAAAAGGGCUCUCCCGUAGCCUGGUGCAUCUCUUCUGGCCCUCUGCGCAGCACCCGUCUUCAAACCUGCGAGCUUUCUCACCCUAAAAGAGGUGGCAAGGAAUAGACACUUCACAUCCAGGUCUCCUUUUCUCCUCUGAUGGGAAGUCGCCGUCCCCAGAAUGACUCUCAGCACCCUCACGGCACAGGCUGCUCAAGAAACCUUGAGCCCGAGCUCAUUUUCUCCCUCUUUAAGCAGGCCGUGUGGAAACAAAAGCCACAGUAUUGUACACUUCGCCGUUUCGACUCAAUGGCAGUAUUUUAAUACACAAUAAAUCAUUAUUGAGGGGAAAAAGUCAGAACUCCAGACCGGGAGGCUAGACGUGUGGGUUGGGUGUUGCAAACCAACCCAAAUGAAUUCACGUCGGAUGUCUCAUUCCCUGGGGCCCCCCCGAAUUCACCACUUCCACGCUUUUCUUCCCCAAAGACUGCGUUCAGAAGUGCACUAGGCACAGCUCACUUAUUUUGGAGAGCUGAGAAUUCAGCAUUUUGUCCCCUCUGAAAAGAGGACCUGCUUUCCACAGGUUGGUUGUUGUUACUGCUUGUCUUCAGCUCCUCUUCCCCUUCCUCUCCCUCUCCAGGCAAAACUCAGAGCACUUCCUACUGCCUGUGAUGCAUAAAUACCCCACGGGGUUAUUAAUUAGCUCCUGCCCUUUCCCCAAACCCCUGUGUGCAGGAUGACCCAGGAGAUCACAGAGCCCAAUGUGCCCAAGGGCUUCCCUCUUCACCAAGAGAGGGAAAUGGCUGGGAAGAGAGAGCCACAAGUCCCGAAGAGCCCGUCUCUUCCCCAGUGAAAAUAUUUUGAAGCUGUGGCCUAAAGAGAACAGCACGUCAGAAGUGCCUACCAACAGGCCUUGCUCUGGUACAGAGAGAGUGGAUCAGGUCAGAACAAGACAUGGAGCUGCUAGAGCAGGUCCAGAGGAAGGCCGUGAAGAUGAUGGAGGGGCUGGAGCUCCUCUCCUGUGGAGAGAGGCUGAGGGAGUUGGGGUUGUUCACCUUGGAGAAGAGAAGACUCUGAGGAAACCUUAUGGAGGCCUUCCAAUAUAUAAAUAUGGGCUUAUGAGGAAGAUGGAGAAAGACCUGUUACCAGGACCUGUAAUGACAGGGCGAGGGGCAAUGGUUUUAAAUGAAAGAGGGUAGAUUUAGAUUGUAUAUAAGGGAGAAAUUCUUCACCGUGAGGGUGGUGAGGCCCUGGCACAGGCUGCCCAGAGAAGCUGUGGAUGCCCCAUCCCUGGAGGUGCUCAAGGCCAGGCUGGAUGGGGCUUUGGGCAACCUGGGCUGGUGGGAGGUGUCCCUGCCAUGUGGCAGGGGGGUGGGGACUGGUGGGCUUUGAGGUCCCUUCCAACCCGGGCCACUCUAUGAGCAGAGUUCAUGUGCCAUUUGGAGAAGUACAAUUUAGCCUUCAGUAGCACCAAGGCCACCCCAUGUUCCUCAGCUCCCAUCUAGGAGCUCCUAACCCUGCCUGGCUUCCAAAACCAGGGAGGAUCAGGCAUGGUCAAGGCGUUAUAGCCAUGGCAGAAACAAUACAGGCAAAAUACAGCACCAGGAGGCCAGCAGGUCUCUGCCCUGCACUCUCCCAAAGUGGCCAACAGUGUCUGCUCUGAGACACAGCAGGGAUCACCUGAAUCCAGCCCCGUCCAGGCAUCUUACAGGCUUCAUAAACCCCCCAGCUGGCUAGGUAGCCGUGAUCCUUAAUAGCAGCAUUUAACAGCGUUCCUGUUACCAUGCCGAAGUACACCACGCAGCAAUAGCCUGGGUCCCGAAUGUGCCAUUUGCCACAUCUAUUCUCAGAACAGCUUUCCAGACGAUGUUCAAGCCUUUCCAGGAACCAAAGGCAUCUCCACGAGGACCGGGCUAUUAUCCCACUGCUCCUCUUUGAAGUGCCUUGCCCCCAUUAAGCAAACAGUGGAGGAAAAGCUUCCUAUUUACCUGCUCCAGCACAGCCCUUUGUUUUAGCCCGGCUGGGCUGCAUCUGUCAGAGCAGCAACGUGCAGCAUAUUCUUCCUCUCUAUUUGCAUGGUUUGAAGAAGCAGGCUGCCUACACAGGCAUUUUCCAGAUGGAGCAGUCCCAUGUGGGUACAGACCUUUACUAGCAGUUGCCAGACUUACCACGGUACAUGAGAAAUGCCUACGUGUAAUUACAGGGUUGGGUUGUUUUGCUUAAUCAUCCUGCUGAUGGUAGAAUACAGCUGCCCGAGGGAUUGUCCUCUUGGAAACCUCCCUCAGCACACAUUUUGGGACACUCAGGAGGAACCAUAUCUCCCGGCAGGCUCACGACAGGUAGCAGUUUUAUGGGGGAGGAAAAGGUCUAUUUCUUCAACUAAUAGCUCUUGUUUUAUUCAACACGCUCCCGUGGAGUUCUGCAAAGGCCACAGCACACGGAGGGGACUGGGGAUGGGAUUGUUCCUGGAGCCGGUUAUUGCUGUUGGAAAUGGCUGCUGCUGUUUUUCCAUCUCCUUGAUUUAGCCGGUGGGUUUCCAAAGAACAAAAAAAUAAAUAAAAAUCAGUGCAUUCUCUUGACCCAUUGCUGCAAAACUCAACCUGAGAUAUAGAAAAACCUGUGGUCAGCAGGCUCUCACUCCGAUCUACCCUCGCCCUUGGUGGCACAGUAGGAAGUCACCAAGGAUUGUAUGGUCACCAUCCUGCUGGGCACAGAGGGACACCAGCCUGAGCAUGGCCUGAGAGAGCCCCCUCUCUAACGAAGCCAUCUGAUAUAGAGCAGUUGAUGCUGUUCAAUGCCCACACUGCAGAUGCUAAAAUAAAAGCAGUCCAGAGAGCCUUUGGGGGUGAAUGAACUGAUGCCAUUGCUUCAGAAACAAAAGCAGAGUCUAACCUUGUGAGGUUGGGUACAAUUGUGACACACCAGGUUGAAGUUGUUCCUCCCUACCUGUUUGCACAGCUAAAAGCAAGCAGAUAAUUUUAUUUUCCAAUUUUCUGGGGAAAAAGUUACAACCUUUAUUCCUUCCUUAAGGAAGAGAUUGAAUUUCUUUUUAUGAUCCUGAGCAAUGCGAUCAUUUACUCAUUUACGGAGUCUACAAAAGCAAUUCGUGUUUCAGCUCGAUUAUUUGCAUAUAAUGAGUCACGGGACAAAACACCGUGGGUACAAAAAUGUUCCUUAAUAGAGAAAUUGGUAAAACAUGGUGAAGAUUAAGGACCUGACGUAACCUUAAACAUCGCAAAACUGUCGCACAUCAAGAAAAAAAAACCUUCGGCCCCAUUUUGUGAAGAGGGAAGGCCAGUCCUGUAUUUCUGUUUAAUCUUAAUUAACUCUCCGCAGGAUCAGGGGACACAACAGCACUGGCAGCUUGUGCUACUGUCAGAGCACGGGGGCAGAAACUUUGUUCCAACACAGUUUCAGUGCUCUCAAAGCAUCCAGAAACUACGUAAAUCAGGCCUUGAUGUGUCAUUUAAUCUUAAGAAAUAAUUUGGGAUUUUUUCUUUUAUUUCUUUUCGCUUUUCUGGCUCCGUGCUUUGCAGCUCAUUGAUAUUUUCGGCUCUUUUCCUCGGAAACCAAAGGCUGGAAGCUGACUCAUUGUUAAUAGAAGGUAAAAGCCUCUUGGAGGCAUCACGAUUUCAGGAGCUGAGACUUUAAUGGGAACACCAAAUGCAUCUGGCAUUAUGAUAAGGUCAUCAAAAAUUAGCAACACCGAAGGUGCGUCCUGGCUGUCCUAACAGAGAUCAAAGCUGAUAUAUAUAAAACUGCAUUUUGUGAAGGGUCAGACCAAAAGUAAGGGUUAUUUUCCUAUUCACUCCUUUUAGGCAGAAAACAGAAAUUGAUGUCUGUGAGGGUCCCAUGCAACAUCUCCGAAGGGUGGGCAGCUUUCAUUUGAGCCUUGCCUUGGCUGGCUCUGCCUCCCAGCCCUGCCAGGAUUGCACUCUCAUCAGAGAGAGAGAAUGUAGAACUGUGCACAGAAAUGAAAGUGACCCAUUUAAUGAUCUCUCCUCUAAUGACUUGCCCACAAAAGCAAAUAAAAUCAAUGCUAAUAAGGGAUGCCAAUGCCCAAAGCCCUCUCCAGAUCAGGAAGAGGGAGAUCACUUCUUUUAUGUAAUGGAAUGAGCUGGAGACAGCGGUGAAGCAGGGGAGAGGAGAUCUGUGGAGGACACCACGUUAGCCACAAGAGUCUACCCAGAGUGUCAAGGGUGGGGAGCAAGGGACAGACAAUGCACACUACACUAAGGAGUGAACUCUCUCUUCCCCCCAAACUGGACUGGGGUAAGAUUUUCAUGACCAAAGCCACCCAAAAUCACUAUCUACAGAACUGCCCUCUCCUUCUGCAGGGUGUUCUUCGUUUAUUUUGGUUUGUGGUUUGGGUUUUUUGUGUUUGUUUGUUUUGCGUUGCUCUAUCUCCCCAGUUAAUUCAGAUGCUUGCCUUAAAUUUAUUUUGAGAAAAAGAGAAGGAUGCAACCAUCUUGCAGACAACUUCAUUUAGCACCCUGCUAAUUUUCACCUCCAUCAUGGAAGCACCAGUGCUGUUCCCACCACCUCCAAGACCGGGCAUAGCACCUCAAGCAAGAGGAUGGACUAGAGCAGCACCAAGGCCAGCCAAAAACAUGGACAAAGCCACUUUCCCUGGGCUACCCAAAAACUCCCUCAGACCACCAAGGCCACCAACAGCCUGUAGAAGUCCAGAGCUGCAGUAAACACACCGCUCACCCAUGGCUUUUCCAACGAGGGUAUUGGCAUCCAACAGGUCACAUCAGAACAUGGUCACUCCCACAGUCUUCCUGCAUCCUUGAUUUACCUGAGCAGCCCCAGCCCUAACUUCUGUGUAACCCAUCCUAGGGUGGAGCUGCCUCCGUUCCCUACAUGCCCUGGCAAUACAGCAGUACAGCCACUGCUCUUCCUCGGAAAUCCGGAGUGCCUUCGUUUAUGGCACUUAAGGAGUAAAUAGGAGUCAUUGCCUCCUGAGAAGAGGCUGUCCUGGCGCAAUCCUUCACACAAACCCAUAAAAAAGGGAGCUGGUGUUCAUUAAGAACAUGACUGAACCUGAUUCACCACCGUUCCUAACAGGAUUUGAAGCCUAUGGAGAUGGGGAGAAGGGCUAGGGGACGUUUUCCUACACCACCUAUCAGUAUCGACAUUUCUCUCCUCAUCUCAGCACUUUUGUAUUGCCCUGAUCCCUGUUUCUUUUUUCUCCCAGGCAAGUGCUCAACCUCCUUCCCCACCGACCGACCAAAGAGAGCCGCCCCCCAGGGCAGCAAAGCCUGCAGCGAGCUGCGAGCCACGCGCGUUCCCGCUGCCCACCUCUGCUUUUCGCUUCUCUUCUGGUUCGAGGUUUUUGUCAGCAGCACCUUUUCUAAAAAGGAGCCCACACAAACCUCCCUCCUGACUGCUUUCACUUGCGAGCCUUAGAAACAGCCCUUAGAAACACUCUGAAGGAGGCCAUGAAAGCUCUCCUCAGCCUCUUUUAGGGCCUUUGUCAACAAGGCCGUGACAUGGGCCUGGGGACCGGCCUGACACGGCUCGGGGGACACAUUUAUCUCCAGGGCACGACUCCAAACAGCCCCCCGUGAGACACAGGAGCUUGCUGCAAGCCUCUGUAGGCCACCACCAUGAGGUCAGUGCCCCAGGAGCAGGGACAAGGCCACGGAUGAGGAGGACAAGGGGACAAGGCCAUGGACGAGGCAGGGAGCAGAGCCCCCGCAGGCUGUGGCCAGUUUCACGGAGCUCACUCACGAGUUUAAGCUCAUAUCUAAUUGAAUUGCAGAUGGCUUUUCUGAUGGCUAUCUGGGAGCAAAGCUUUGAUUAAAGCGGCAGCGGAGAGGCAGAACAGGCUUGUUGUUCCCAGUAAUAAAACUGAUGGAAGGAGGAACGACCACUUACUGCAGGCUCCACAGGGAGCAUAAAGCAGGCAGAUACUUUAAACACGAUUUUAUUUUUAUUAUGACUUUUUUUUUUUCUUUUGAUUUUUGAGAUUUGACAGCUCAGCACAAACCCCCAGCUUCCAGCUCCUAGAGAUACAGAACACAGGGAAGGCUGGAAAGCAGCUGACCGUCACUGAAAGGCUCCACAAACAAACUCACCCCCGUCCCUUCCCAUACUCCUUGAUGAACAACAGAUCCGCUUUCUGUUCCGACGGCCAGAUACGCUUGUUGCUCUUUAUUUUGUUUUUAGAGGCUGGCAAUUUCUCUGCUCCAUCCUUUUGUCGCUUCCAAGAAUCAGGUGGCUCGGCCCUGAGGUCGCACACGCUAGAUCUCAGCCUCUUGAGAUCUUCUGGUGCCUUCAGAGCUCCGAAGAGGGAGAAGUUCAGAAGAGCUCCCAGCCCACCCAAACUAGAAAACUAAACUGAAGCUUUAUGGGUUGUUGUUUUUGUUGGUUUUUCUUUCCCCCCUCAUGACGACUUGAACCACAUCCAAUGCACAUUACCACAUACGCAUCGCUGAAAAACCACCCCCACCCAACGCAGCUGAAGAAUCAAAGCUGAACUUCGAGCUGACCUAAAAACCUGGCUCAGCUCAGGAACACGGUGUCAGAGGACUGCACUCCCCUUCCACAGCUGGCUGUGCACAAACCGAAGCCACAUUAGGUCCUGGGGGCCUCUCGGCCGCGUCCUGCUUCAACUUUCUCUCUCGCCUCUUGGCCUUGCACAACUCUCCCGGGGGCACCUCGAUGAACAACAACAACAACAACCUGGGGCUGAGUUUCAAGGAAAGUCCUUGGAGGUUUGUUGGUUUUCCCUUUUGAACUGUUGCCCUUUUCCGAUGUAUUUACAAUGUAAGGAAGUCAGUUUAUUCACGGUUUGGCUUUUAACUUCAUUGUUGAGCUUGGCCUUGCUCCUGUUGGAAAUUGGACCCUGAUUCAGGAGGGCAGCUGCCAGUGUCUGCUGGAAACUCCUUGCCACGGGAUUUUCAAACAUGUUGCUUGUUGGCCCAGCUCAGCACAAAGUAAAUGCAGGAGGAAGAGCCCUGCUUACUCAUCGCAGGAAAAGAGGCAAGCGUUUCGCAGAGUAGCCUCAAACACACAUCGCCAACUCCUGAGCUUGUUCCAGGCUUCCCAGGAGCUCCCUCCAGCAGCCAGCCAGGGCUCAGUUUCGCACAUCUGAAGUUACACUGUCCAGCAGGGACAGAGUUGGGCCAACUGCCAGCCCCCAGCCUCGGCCUUGAGAUUUGUUUCAGGUCCACCCCAGCAGAAACCUCUCCAGAAAGUUAAAACGCGUCAUCCCAAAGAGAAAAGCAAGAAAUAUUUCAACAUCUCAGAUGCCAACUGCUACUACUCACGAGGCUCCGUUAAGCCAAGCGAGCUCGAGUACUGCUAUUCUACCCCACAAAGAAUAAAGAUAUAUAUAUAUUUUGUCUUAAACUCAAUAUACGCACCAUGGAGCUACAGAAUUCAAGGGUGGCGAUUCCCAAACAGCCUCGCUGGGCUCCUCCUGCAGCUGAAAGAGGGGAAGCCGCCUUCCAGACACUGAUUUAUUCCAUAAGGAUUGGGGAGAGUCAUCUCUGAGACCCCGCACUUACCGCGCUGCUGCUGGGAGGUUUCGUCUGGAUGCUCUUGGGAUGGUUUUCAGACACAUAAUGGAAGCCUAUUUCUCUUCCCCAGCUAUUUACAAAGCCCUCAUUUUGGACAACCUGCACUUGCCUUAGAAUUAUUUGCCAAUCUCUUUUUUUUUUUUUUUUUUUAAAGCAAUUAGGGAAAAAUAGCAAGUUGUGCUCGGCGAUAAUUCGCUUACCUCAGUUCAUCAUGUUGCUGUUAAAAAUAAAGCAAGCGUGCGGCUAAAUGUCAAGAAGGUAAAUGACAAACAGUUUGAAUAUAGCCUGAAGAGCUACUGAGCGGCAGAUAGGCAGAGAUUAGGAAGCCUGACAGAUUACAUUUAAUUUGAUUCUUGCUGUGGAUGAAAGCCCGAGCAUUUCAGAAUUCUUACCAAAAAAUAAAUGUAUUAAAAAAAAAAAAAAAAAAAAAAAAAAACAAUUAUCUAGUGGGAAAAGAAAAAGGGUACUCUUGGCUAUUGGAGCCAUUUGAUUUAAAGUGCUCUGAAAAAUGAUUUGUUAUAGAACAAAAGCAAAAAUCAAAACAAUUCAUUCCACAAGCAUUACAGCACAACAGGCUGAGAAGCCCUCCCUUUGUUUUGGGCUCAAGUGAAAUUUUGGUCAAUUUUGGGCUGUUUCACAGAGGGAGCCUUCAGUUUUGACAGAGGGGUUGCUAAAAUAACCUCGGCAACCAAGUUUCUCUGCCUAACUUUAGCAGUUUCAUAAACAGCUCCAAAAGCUGGCUCCAUGGUUUUAAAGCGAUUAAAACAGCGCUUCACCAAGGAAUAGAUGACAAGAUUUGCCAACGCUGAAGCACAGCGUGCUAAAAUUAUCGACAUAUUACCUAACCCAAAGCCUUCAAACUCCCAGACGCUGCCUUAAAGAACAGUUUGGAAAACAAUCCUGGAUUUAGGACAUGCUCGGGCUGUUCUCUAAACAAAGAAGAAGAAAUCAAUCCAGAGGUCAAUCUCGUUUUUAAACAUAAAACAAUGCUCGGCAAAUUCGGGUGAGCGAAGUGGGUGAAAAAGCUUAUCUGCAUGUUAACAUUGGCUUUUUAGACACUCAACAUUAUGGCCUGGAAGUGCUAAAGAGACAUUCAGAAUAUAAAGGCAACUGGAGACAAUUAAGCCACUUACAAAGCACCAAAAUUAGCAUUCCUUUUGUCAGGCCCAGAUAAUUCAAGUGCUGUUCUGCCACAAAGGCUAUCAUCAAUUUCUAAUUUUAGCUUAAUCCAUUAAAAAAAAAAAAAAAAAAGCAUCUAGCUUUUCUCUCAGUUGUUUCCUCAUUAAGGAUACUUUUAAAUUAUAUACUGAAACCUCGAGAAUGCAAACUACAAAUUACAGUUCACAUUCCCACAGGGACAUAGGCACUUGCUUUGAUAUACUAAUCCCAGCAAGGGUAUCUGACGCAGCUCCUUGUGCCCUAACACAGCCCAGCAGAGCCUGAACCACUGCGUGAUCUGAGCCCAAAAGCAAGAUUUAGUCCUCAAUCACAGAAAGAAAGUCUCUCCUGCCUUUGAGCCCACAGCCUUCUUUUUUCCUCUGCUACACAUUUAUCCAUAGUAAUGUUGCUCCCCAGGAACUGUAGCUCCUGAUAUUCACUCACCAGUAUUCACUACACAAUACCCUGCAAAAGACUCCGUACCAACUUUGCAAUUACCCUUCACAUUUCAAGCCAAAUUCCUGCACUCAGUUUUUAGGACGGUGCUUUCCAUGACAAAAUACUGUCCUACCAGUCUGUAAAGGACUAAUAAUUUCGUACUUCAGCAAAUGCCCAGGAUCCACUGUAAAGCUGCAAAGCCCUUUGCUACCCCAGUUGCAGGCUGUGGUCUUGCUGUUACCUACGAGCCUUCCGCCAGUAGCUUUGUAGGUUUUGGUUCACUUCUAUUUUAAUCAUGAUUACUGAAGAGGAAAUAAGCAGUUUUUUCCAAGCUGAAAGUGCUUUUUAUCUCCAUGAAGAACUUGGAAAUUCUCCUCCACAAUCCCACAAGGCACAAUUAACACCAAGUUUGCACAAUUUCAACUUGCAGAAAAACAAUCGAGGUAAGAGCUGUGGGUGUGAAAGCGAGGUAUUCGUGGCCAUCCAACGUUUCAGCCCGGUCUAAGCACCAAAAGCUUCAGAGAGCAUCUUGCUGCGGCUCGCAUGCUGGGUCUGUGCUCCUUCUCUUCAAGGUACAAAAAGCACCCGGUGGUGCUCCUGGCACUUCCACAGCCACUUCCUCAUCUCUCCGCUCACGCAGAGCCCAGUUGCAACAUGCUGAAGUGACCGCAGCUGACAUGAUUACAAUAUGCAAACAGUGAUUUAUCAACAUUGUAUGCUUUAUUGAAAGUUGACAAGUGCAACAGUUAAAUACAUUGACGUGUUACAACUGUUUAGAGAACAUGCACAAAAACAUAUGCAUACUACUAUACAGAUCAUAUGCAAAAAUCCAUACUGGGAAAUCCAAUUUUUUUUUUCUUUUUUUUUAAAUUCUUUGCUAGCAGGGUUUGAUAAUAAUUUUUGGAGUGGUUUUUCCUGUCUUAAACCAAACUACAAUGAACAAAGAUUUACUUCAAGAUAAUCAGCAGCCAGGGAACUUCAGAAGUUACACAAACAGCAUAAACCUGCCAAAUUCUGAACAGUUGCGUAGGUGCAUUCUUAUUUAUGUAGCAUUAAAAAAAAAAAAAA